rnacentral:rRNA from 1 species
CUUACUCCGUGCCCGCGCGCGCACUCAGGCUGCGGUGUCGUGCGUUUCUCCGUAUUUCUGGUCGUAAUUCGUGCGCCGGCGGUUGUUUAAGCGAGAGCUGAAAGCCCUGGGCUCAACAUAGGAAUAGCAUUUCGAACUGGCGAACUAGAUUCUUGUAGAGGGGGUGAGUAUUCCAGGUGUAGCGGUGAAAUGCGUAGAGAUCUGGAGGAAUACCGGUGGCGAAGGCGGCCCCUGGACAAAGACUGACGCUCAUGCACGAAAGCGUGGGGAGCAAACAGGAUUAGAUACCCGUGUAGUC